rnacentral:rRNA from 1 species
CCUUGCCAUUAGUUGCCAUCAUUAAGUUGGGCACUCUAAUGGGACUGCCGGUGACAAACCGGAGGAAGGUGGGGAUGACGUCAAGUCCUCAUGGGCCUUAUGACCAGGGCUUCACACGUCAUACAAUGGUCGGUACAGAUGGUCGCGAAACCGCGAGGUGGAGCCAAUCUCAUAAAACCGAUCGUAGUCCGGAUCGCACUCUGCAACUCGAGUGCGUGAAGUCUGAAUCGCUAGUAAUCGCAGAUCAGCAUGCUGCGGUGAAUACGUU